rnacentral:lncRNA from 1 species
UCUUUGUGCCUCUGGCCCUAGCCUACAGCCUUGAUGAUAAAAUCUCAUCACAAGUGUGUUCUUGAGCCCAUGACUUACUCUGGUGCAUUAUGAAACACACAGGGGCCAUGGGAACCUCCCCCUCAGGUGGGUGGCCAGCUGGUCAGACUGCAGAGGCCCUGAGGACUGCACUUGUGCCCGGUGUCUGAAGCGGGGUCAGUCUUGUUGGGAACCUGGCCCUUCCAUUGUGGACUCUGGUGCUCACUCCAACCAGUUAGCGGCCAAAUUGAAUUGCAAUCCGUGUCAGGGAAGCCUCCCCGUCUUUCCAAAUAUCUGCCCCCUGGACUUCAAGGUCAGCGUCAGAAGCAGAGACACAGCUUUGUGGAGACGGCUGACCAGCUCCUGCAAUUGCACGAGGUCUGGUCUCUGUAACGCGUGUACACACACGUGUGCGCGGAUGUCCGUGCCCGGCCACGUCUAGAGGUCUGGCCUCACGGUCUGAACGGGUCGGUGCCCAGGCCGCAGCCACAGCCCCUCGGCCUCCUCUACCUGGUGCCUUCUGCACUCCCUGGUCCUUUACCCCACACCUGCCAUUUGAGUUACCCGGUGAAGAGGGAGCUGUGCCUUUCAGUUCCAUCAACGCCCGGCAGGUGUACGUUGCGCUGCGUGGCAAAGGAAGGACCCACCGCUGGAGACCUGGGCAGGCUGCGAGGAAAUCAGGCAUUUAGCUGGCAUCAGAAUCCUGGGGGAGAUCGCCGUGGGCUGGGAGUGGGGUGAGGACUUGGCAGGAACCUUUCCAUUCUGAGUGUUUUUCUGACCCUGUCCAAAUCACACAACCCCGGGAUGGUAUACGAUUUUCUUUUUCCCACCCGACUGUCAUAGCCAUAAUAAUUGCUGCCCUUGGUAAAGGGUCCCAGCAGCAGCAGGCACCUGCUGUAUAUAUCAUCUUUAAAGCUUCCAGUGUCCACACUUGGGUGAUCCAUUUCACAGAUAGGAAAACUAAGGCCUAUGAAGUCACAUGCUGUGGGUGUACAUAGGGCCACGUUAAGCCAGAGCUGGACUCAGAACCCAGGUCUUAGGGAUCUAAAGUCCAGACUACGUUCUUUUUUCUGUCUAAGUUCUGUCAGCCCCAGGGAGACGCUUCUGGGCCCCUGACACCCAGGGACGCAUCUGCCAAGAGCUGCUACACCUGGUGUCACCUGGAUUCACCCCUUCCCCAUCACCCCGCCCUGAGCUGGUUUGUCUCUUACAGGUGACAAGGAGACGGAGGGAAGAAAGGCUUCCCCUGCUUGCCCCUGAUCCAGCGGCUCUCUGGGUCUUUUUAGCAGCCUGGGAAGUCUCCCAGUGAAACAGGGUUUUCAACUUGCCUUGGGCCCCCUCCCCCCAGCCCCUCUGCAAAAAAGGUCUACAGUGACUCUCGCCGCUCUGUGAUGCAGCCAGUACUGUUUAUCACGGCACUCAAGCCCUCCCAGAGCCCCCGCCCUGAUUUCUUACCCAUCUCUGUCCUGUAGCAGGAGAUUUUUCAGUGGCCGGGGUUGGCCUCCUGGACAACAUUAGUUCUAAAAUAGCUCCGGCCCAGCUCGGAGGACCUCGGGAGGCCUCGCAGGGGAUUCAUCCUUGAAGUCGUGGAACUACAUCUAUUUGACCUUCCUUUUUCUCCCGCUUUGAGGGGUCUUAACACAUCAUGCAGGAGUAUUUCUCUCGCGGCAGGAAAAAAAACUUGCUUUGCACAGAAGACAAAGAACCGAGUGUGGCUACGGCUGACAGAGAAGAGCACCGUUGGGGAUCCCCCAUGGGCGCCUCGGGUGGGGGGAGAUGAGGGAACUCCUCAGUGCCCCCCCCCCACCCCGGGUGUCCACUGCAAAUCAGCUGUCGGAUGAGAACUUCCUGUGGUUUAAAUGCUGAAGGAAGGCGCAUCCGAGGCGCAUCACCUUGCUAGUUUGGGGUAGCAGGCAUGAGCAUGGGUGUCUCGGUCCGGCUUGAGCCUGUUAGGUGACAGGGGCUCCCCACCCGGCCCUGUUUACCAACAGGACCACUAACCUUCAGGUGCCCACUCUCUGGGGCUGGGAGAGCCACGCCCCACGUGGAUUAUGUUCAGAAUGAAAGGGACAACUCCAAGCUGAGGCCAGCAAUGACCUAACUUCAAAGGAAUCACCUUCUCUCCUUGUCCCUUGUCCCACCCUCAGGGGACCCGCAGUCAGGGAUCUACCACCUGUGAGCCAGCUCGGCUGGCUGGAGAUCUGGAAACUCUGUUUAUUUCCCCCCCUUCCCUUGCUCUUCCCCUUUGCCUCCCUUCCCUUCCUCCCUCCCUUCCAUUGUGUGUGGAGAUGCCCGGGUUUGCUCAGCAUCCCCCCUUGAUGGACACUUAGGUUGCUUCCAGUCCCGUGCAGCUCAAGUCGGCUUCAGUGAACCAACUCGCGCACACUCAUGUGGUCCCUCCCUGACGGAGCGUGUCUACGGGAAGGAGUCCUAGAAAUCGAACCACCAAGAAAGAAGGCGGACUCACUUUCCCUGGUGGCAUAAGAUGACCCGAAUUUACUCCCUCACACUUUGCAGGGGGGGCCAGAAGUCUGAAAGCAAUUCUAGUGGAUUUGGUUCCUCUGUCUGCUCCUUUCCCCACUCCUAGUGGCCACUUCUAUCCUUGGCCGGUGACCCUUUCUUCAUCUUCAAAGGGCCCAGCUCUAAACUCUGCCUUGGCCUUCCAUCCCCUCUCCUCCUGACCUCCUGCCUCCCUCCAUCAGGACCCCUGGGACGACACCAUGACCACUCUCCAUAUGGAGAUUCUUAACUGUGUCACCUCUGCAAGUCCUUCCUGUCAUGUAGGUAGCUUUCGUUCGUUCAUUCAUUCAUUUGUUCACUCAUUCAUUCAUGCAUUCAUUCAUUUGUUCAUUCAUUCAUUCCAGGGUUUAGGGUGUGGCACCAUUUAUCAGCCUACUUGGCAGAUCUUUCACACUUUGCUUCUGUGGUGCCAGGGAUGGGACCCAGGCUCCAUGUAGCCAGGCAGGGACUGGACCAGUGAGUCACACCCCCAGCCCCUGUGCUCUGCUGAACUUUAAGGGUGUCUAGGUCUAUACUUUUGAAAAUGGUAGAUUGCCCUCCCUGGAAGUUGUAGCCUCUGCCUUGCCCACUGUCAACAGGAAGGGUGGCAGACGGGCUCUGUCAAACCCAUCUUUGCAAAUCUGCUGACAAAGUAUCGUCGCCGUUGAUGGUUUUAGUCAGCACUCCUCUCACCAGUGAGAUGGAGGCCCUGUUUGGAGGCCGUGUUUGCGUGGGAGGCUGUGGGCUUCCACUUGGGUGUUUGGUGCGCCCUCUUUUCAAGUCCCUGCCUUGGUUUUCUUUGAAUCCUUGGGCUUUUCCUUGGUGUGACAUUCCUCAGAGCAAAAUCAGCCCUGCAGGUUGAAUUGCAAAUGGUGCUGUUAUUACCAACCCCUUUUUAUAGAUGAAGAAACGGAGGCUUGGGGACCUGAAAUGACACGCUCCGGGCAGCGAGACCAUAAUGACAGAGUCAGACUUGGAACUGUCCUCGAUGUGAAACUUCACCCCUGCUGUGUUCGCAUCAGCUGGUGGCUCUGUAGAUUGUCUCUCUGUCAGACCAAGCAUCAGAAAUAGCAUAUAAAUUUCCUCUGUCAGAAGACGCUUUUGCAAUGUUCCAGGGCUUUUUUUGGUACCAGGGAUUGAACUCAGGGACACUUGACCCCUGAGCCACACCCCCAGCCCUAUUUGGUAUUUUAUUUAGAGACAGGGGCUCAUUGAUCUGCUUAGCACCCUGCCCUUGCUGAGGCUGGUUUUGAACUCUCCAUCCUUUCACCCCCCCCCCCCAGCUUCCACUAGUCCACCUGACACAUGAGGAAACUGAGGCUCAGAGGGACUUGGGAGCCCGGGCGUGUGUAAACCUGAGGUCAGAACUUGCCACCAGCUCUGGGCCUUCCCCUGCUGAUGUCCACCUUUUGUGAUUUCAAGUAGGUCAGGUUCAACCUUAUAAAAAACUUACCCUACCUGUGUACGACUACCCAAUGAUUUAUCUACUAUAAUUUUUCAAUUGAUCACAUUCUAUAUGCUUUGCUUCAUUCUAAUCAGUAACAGUGUUAAAAAUCACAGGUGUGACGCGUUCCUUCUUUGGUCCCUAAUUCCACAUAUCUAAGAAUUUUCACACGCUACCUACCAUCUUAUUUCCCAUAAGCACUACAUGUUUUGGAAACAGGGUAUUAAGAUUGUAGGGCCUGAUGGAAAACGAUAGACCAUCACUCUGACUGCUCUUGAUCAAGUAACUCCUAAAUGCCAGCCAGCUUCAUUUAAUCCUUACGGCAACUCUAAAAGACAGACACAGGUUUUUGCAGUUCAUAGAGGAGGAACCAGAGGCUCAGAGAAGUCAAGCAACUCAACCGAGGCCACACAGCUGGAAAGCAGUGAUGGUGGGAUGUGAGCUCAGAUAUUUCUGACUCAGAGAGCUGUGCAUUUACCUGCACAGCCCUGUCACCCUCCCCCGGUCUGGACAUUAGUUUACUAACUGCAUAGGUGGUGGCCAGUUGGUGAUUGCUGACCAGGGCAGUCAUCAUCCACAUAAGGCAUUUUGCUAUGUAUCUCGCUGCAGGUAACUUAGUGAGAUCUGUCUCAAAAAAUAAAAGGGAGCGGGGAGGGGAAUAGGAAAGACAAUAAAUGAAAUCAGACUUAACUUUCCUGAGCUCCUACAUGAAUGCACCACAGGUGUGACUCCACAUCAUGUUCAACCACAAGAACGGGAGCAAAAUUGGGAGGGGUCGCACCCCGCGUAGGUAUCCUAUGUCACAACACACCCUGCUGUCAGGUAUAUCUGAAAACCACAAAUGGAAAUAAGUAAACAAAAGGGGCUGGGGAUGUGGCACGAUGGUAAAGGUAAAGUGCCCCCCAGUUCAAUCCCCAGUACCGGAAUAAAAAGGGAAAAAGGAUGUCUGAGCCAGGCCCCCAGGGACUGAGGGCGUUUCCCAGUUGAACCCAUUCUACCGGUGAGGACGGUGCAGAGGUCACAUGAUUCCCUACAGUCACCCUGUCAGGGAGCAGCGUGGCCAAGAAUCAUAAAUAAUAUUAUUUCAAGAGACUCCAACUCCGUAACCUAAGGGCUGCCCUGAGUCUGGGAGACAGAAGGGGCUUCCCGGCCCUGACCCUACCACAGCAGGGCUCCCUCCAGGCGGGGCCUGGCUUCUGUAGGCUGCCAACCGCCUGAGCGUGUUCCCCCC